rnacentral:rRNA from 1 species
UACGAAGGGGGCUAGCGUUGCUCGGAAUCACUGGGCGUAAAGGGUGCGUAGGCGGGCAGGUAAGUCAGUGGUGAAAUCUCCGAGCUUAACACGGAAACUGCCGUUGAUACUAUUUGUCUUGAAUAUUGUGGAGGUAAGCGGAAUAUGUCAUGUAGCGGUGAAAUGCUUAGAUAUGACAUAGAACACCAAUUGCGAAGGCAGCUUACUACACAACGAUUGACGCUGAGGCACGAAAGCGUGGGGAUCAAACAGG